ACAGGAAUCAGCUUGCUGAUUCGCUGACGAGUGGCGGACGGGUGAGUAAUGUCUGGGAAACUGCCUGAUGGAGGGGGAUAACUACUGGAAACGGUAGCUAAUACCGCAUAAUGUCGCAAGACCAAAGAGGGGGACCUUCGGGCCUCUUGCCAUCGGAUGUGCCCAGAUGGGAUUAGCUUGUUGGUGGGGUAACGGCUCACCAAGGCGACGAUCCCUAGCUGGUCUGAGAGGAUGACCAGCCACACUGGAACUGAGACACGGUCCAGACUCCUACGGGAGGCAGCAGUGGGGAAUAUUGCACAAUGGGCGCAAGCCUGAUGCAGCCAUGCCGCGUGUAUGAAGAAGGCCUUCGGGUUGUAAAGUACUUUCAGCGGGGAGGAAGGGAGUAAAGUUAAUACCUUUGCUCAUUGACGUUACCCGCAGAAGAAGCACCGGCUAACUCCGUGCCAGCAGCCGCGGUAAUACGGAGGGUGCAAGCGUUAAUCGGAAUUACUGGGCGUAAAGCGCACGCAGGCGGUUUGUUAAGUCAGAUGUGAAAUCCCCGGGCUCAACCUGGGAACUGCAUCUGAUACUGGCAAGCUUGAGUCUCGUAGAGGGGGGUAGAAUUCCAGGUGUAGCGGUGAAAUGCGUAGAGAUCUGGAGGAAUACCGGUGGCGAAGGCGGCCCCCUGGACGAAGACUGACGCUCAGGUGCGAAAGCGUGGGGAGCAAACAGGAUUAGAUACCCUGGUAGUCCACGCCGUAAACGAUGUCGACUUGGAGGUUGUGCCCUUGAGGCGUGGCUUCCGGAGCUAACGCGUUAAGUCGACCGCCUGGGGAGUACGGCCGCAAGGUUAAAACUCAAAUGAAUUGACGGGGGCCCGCACAAGCGGUGGAGCAUGUGGUUUAAUUCGAUGCAACGCGAAGAACCUUACCUGGUCUUGACAUCCACGGAAGUUUUCAGAGAUGAGAAUGUGCCUUCGGGAACCGUGAGACAGGUGCUGCAUGGCUGUCGUCAGCUCGUGUUGUGAAAUGUUGGGUUAAGUCCCGCAACGAGCGCAACCCUUAUCCUUUGUUGCCAGCGGUCCGGCCGGGAACUCAAAGGAGACUGCCAGUGAUAAACUGGAGGAAGGUGGGGACGACGUCAAGUCAUCAUGGCCCUUACGACCAGGGCUACACACGUGCUACAAUGGCGCAUACAAAGAGAAGCGACCUCGCGAGAGCAAGCGGACCUCAUAAAGUGCGUCGUAGUCCGGAUUGGAGUCUGCAACUCGACUCCAUGAAGUCGGAAUCGCUAGUAAUCGUGGAUCAGAAUGCCACGGUGAAUACGUUCCCGGGCCUUGUACACACCGCCCGUCACACCAUGGGAGUGGGUUGCAAAAGAAGUAGGUAGCUUAACCUUCGGGAGGGCGCUUACCACUUUGUGAUUCAUGACUGGGGUGAAGUCGUAACAAGGUAACCGUAGGGGAACCUGCGGUUGGAUCACCUCCUUACCUUAAAGAAGC
rnacentral:rRNA from 1 species